CCUACGGGAGGCAGCAGUGGGGGAUAUUGCACAAUGGGGGAAACCCUGAUGCAGCGACGCCGCGUGGGUGAAGAAGCGCCUCGGCGCGUAAAGCCCUGUCAGCAGGGAAGAAAAUGACGGUACGUGAAGAAGAAGCCCCGGCUAACUCCGUGCCAGCAGCCGCGGUAAUACGUAGGGGGCAAGCGUUAUCCGGAUUGACUGGGUGUAAAGGGGGCGCAGACGGCGAUGCAAGCCAGGCGUGAAAGCCCGGGGCCCAACCCCGGGACUGCGCGUGGAACUGCGUGGCUAGAGUGCAGGAGAGGCAGGCGGAAUUCCUGGUGUAGCGGUGAAAUGCGUAGAUAUCAGGAGGAACACCGGUGGCGAAGGCGGCCUGCUGGACUGCAACUGACGUUGAGGCCCGAAAGCGUGGGGAGCAAACAGGAUUAGAUACCCCAGUAGUC
rnacentral:rRNA from 1 species